UACGUAGGGUGCAAGCGUUGUCCGGAAUUAUUGGGCGUAAAGCGCUCGUAGGCGGUUUGUUGCGUCGGCUGUGAAAUCCCGAGGCUCAACCUCGGGUCUGCAGUCGAUACGAGCAAACUAGAGUGUUGCAGGGGAGACUGGAAUUCCUGGUGUAGCGGUGAAAUGCGCAGAUAUCAGGAGGAACACCGGUGGCGAAGGCGGGAUCCUGGGCCAGUACUGACGCUGAGGAGCGAAAGCGUGGGGAGCAAACAGG
rnacentral:rRNA from 1 species